UACAGAGGUCCCAAGCGUUGUUCGGAUUCAUUGGGCGUAAAGGGUGCGUAGGCGGCGCGGUAAGUCGGAUGUGAAAUCUCGGAGCUUAACUUCGAAACUGCAUUCGAUACUGCCGUGCUUGAGGACUGGAGAGGAGACUGGAAUUUACGGUGUAGCGGUGAAAUGCGUAGAUAUCGUAAGGAACACCAGUGGCGAAGGCGGCUCACUGGACCGGAACUGACGCUGAGGCGCGAAAGCGUGGGGAGCAAACAGG
rnacentral:rRNA from 1 species